UUCAAAGCCAUAUCACCCUGCAGCCCAAGACCGGUUCACUGAAGCUAAGCAGGUCUGAGCCUGUUUAGUAACUAGAUGGGUGACCACAUGGGAAAACUAGGUUGCUGUUGAAA
rnacentral:rRNA from 1 species